rnacentral:lncRNA from 1 species
GGAGAGGAAGUGGCUCUUGUCCCCACCUGCAGAUGUGGAGGAAGAAAACAGCGUGGUUUAUUGACAGAUCUAGCAUCACACAGCUAUCAAAUGAUGAAACCAGGAUUCACAUCUAACCAGAGCUUUUUGUUUUUUGAGCCAAGGUCUUGAUUCACAGCCCAGGCUGGCCUCCAGCUCACAGCAACCCUCCUGCCUCAGCCUCCCCUGGGUGCUAGGAUUAUAAGUGUGCGCCAUCCAGCAGAGCUUUCUAAGAAAUACCUGAGUUCUUUCUGCCACUUUGUACUGGAUCCUCCCUCUGGGGAACCCCCCAAAAACUGAGGCCUCAACCACAGCCAACGUCACAGUUGUGGCAGACAGGAUCUCUCUAAGUUGCAAAAUUGCCCAAGCCGAGCUCAGACUUCCGUUCUUUCUGCCUCAGCCUCCCAGAAUGCUGCGAUGAGCUGUGCGUAUUUUGUGCUUUCAGCACUGACUCUGAGUCCGUGUACCCAUUUUACAGAAGAG